rnacentral:rRNA from 1 species
AGUGCCGUUGAUACUGUAGAGCUAGGAUUAGGUUGCUGUGGGCGGAAUGUGUGGUGUAGCGGUGAAAAUGCUUAGAGAUCACACAGAAUAUCGAUUGCGAAGGCAGCUCACAAAGCCUAAAUUGACGCUGAGGCACGAAAGUGUGGGGAUCGAACAGGAUUAGAUACCCUGGUAGUCCACACUGUAAACGAUGAUAACUCGCUGUCGGCGAUAUACAGUCGGUGGCCAAGCGAAAGCGAUAAGUUAUCCACCUGGGGAGUACGACCGCAAGGUUGAAACUCAAAGGAAUUGACGGGGGCCCGCACAAGCGGAGGAACAUGUGGUUUAAUUCGAUGAUACGCGAGGAACCUUACCCGGGCUCGAACGGUGCAUGAAUGUCAGAGAGAUUUGACAGUCAUUCGGGACAUGUAUCGAGGUGCUGCAUGGUUGUCGUCAGCUCGUGCCGUGAGGUGUCGGCUUAAGUGCCAUAACGAGCGCAACCCAUAUAGACAGUUAUCAUCAGGUAAAGCUGGGGACUCUGUCGAGACAGCCACCGUAAGGUGUGAGGAAGGGGGGGAUGACGUCAAAUCAGCACGGCCCUUAUGUCCGGGGCGACACACGUGUUACAAUGGGAGGUACAGAGGGCAGCUAUCCAGUGAUGGAGUGCAAAUCUCAAAAACCUUUCUCAGUUCGGAUUGGAGUCUGCAACUCGA